rnacentral:rRNA from 1 species
CCUACGGGAGGCAGCAGUAGGGAAUCUUCCGCAAUGGGCGAAAGCCUGACGGAGCAACGCCGCGUGAGUGAUGAAGGUCUUCGGAUCGUGAAACUCUGUUAUUAGGGAAGAACAAAUGUGUAAGUAACUAUGCACGUCUUGACGGUACCUAAUCAGAAAGCCACGGCUAACUACGUGCCAGCAGCCGCGGUAAU